CAGUCGCCGCGGGAAUACGAAGGGGGCUAGCGUUGCUCGGAAUUACUGGGCGUAAAGGGCGCGUAGGCGGACAGUUCAGUCGGGGGUGAAAGCCCGGGGCUCAACCUCGGAAUUGCCUUCGAUACUGGCUGUCUUGAGUAUGAGAGAGGUGUGUGGAACUCCGAGUGUAGAGGUGAAAUUCGUAGAUAUUCGGAAGAACACCAGUGGCGAAGGCGACACACUGGCUCAUUACUGACGCUGAGGCGCGAAAGCGUGGGGAGCAAACAGGAUUAGAUACCCCCGUAGUCCCUGUCUCUUAUAA
rnacentral:rRNA from 1 species